rnacentral:rRNA from 1 species
AUUGAACGCUGGCGGCAGGCCUAACACAUGCAAGUCAAGCGGAUGAAGGGAGCUUGCUCCUGGAUUCAGCGGCGGACGGGUGAGUAAUGCCUAGGAAUCUGCCUGGUAGUGGGGGAUAACGUCCGGAAACGGGCGCUAAUACCGCAUACGUCCUGAGGGAGAAAGUGGGGGAUCUUCGGACCUCACGCUAUCAGAUGAGCCUAGGUCGGAUUAGCUAGUUGGUGGGGUAAAGGCCUACCAAGGCGACGAUCCGUAACUGGUCUGAGAGGAUGAUCAGUCACACUGGAACUGAGACACGGUCCAGACUCCUACGGGAGGCAGCAGUGGGGAAUAUUGGACAAAGGGCGAAAGCCUGAUCCAGCCAUGCCGCGUGUGUGAAGAAGGUCUUCGGAUUGUAAAGCACUUUAAGUUGGGAGGAAGGGCAGUAAGUUAAUACCUUGCUGUUUUGACGUUACCAACAGAAUAAGCACCGGCUAACUUCGUG